UACGUAGGGUGCAAGCGUUAAUCGGAAUUACUGGGCGUAAAGCGUGCGCAGGCGGCUAUGCAAGACAGAUGUGAAAUCCCCGGGCUCAACCUGGGAACUGCAUUUGUGACUGCAUGGCUAGAGUGCGGCAGAGGGGGAUGGAAUUCCGCGUGUAGCAGUGAAAUGCGUAGAUAUGCGGAGGAACACCGAUGGCGAAGGCAAUCCCCUGGACCUGCACUGACGCUCAUGCACGAAAGCGUGGGGAGCAAACAGG
rnacentral:rRNA from 1 species